rnacentral:rRNA from 1 species
AUGGCCGACGGAGAGGACGCCGCCGCCGCCCGCCGCCGCACGGCCAUAUCCGACUACCGCAAGAAAAUGCUCACCUGCAGGGAGCUCGAAUCGCGCGUCGGCACUGUGAGGGAAAACCUUAAAAUUGCUAGGAAGGACUUCGCAAAGACUGAAGAUGACUUGAAGUCACUGCAAAGUGUUGGACAAAUAAUAGGAGAGGUCCUUCGUCCUCUUGAUAAUGAACGCUUUAUUGUUAAGGCUAGCAGUGGUCCAAGAUAUGUCGUCGGUUGCCGGAGUAAAGUGGACAAGGAAAAGUUAACUUCUGGAACUCGUGUUGUGCUGGACAUGACAACUUUGACAAUCAUGCGCACUCUGCCAAGGGAGGUGGAUCCUGUGGUGUAUAACAUGCUACACGAAGAUCCAGGCAAUGUCAGUUACUCGGCUGUAGGUGGCUUGUCUGAUCAAAUCAGGGAACUCAGGGAAUCAAUCGAGCUGCCUUUAAUGAACCCUGAAUUGUUUCUCAGGGUUGGAAUUAAACCUCCCAAGGGUGUUCUACUCUAUGGCCCACCAGGAACUGGGAAGACAUUAUUAGCGAGGGCUAUUGCCAGUAAUAUUGAUGCUAACUUUUUGAAGAUUGUGUCAAGUGCUAUAAUUGACAAAUAUAUCGGAGAAAGUGCUCGUUUAAUCAGAGAAAUGUUCGGCUAUGCACGCGAUCACCAACCGUGCAUUAUCUUCAUGGAUGAAAUCGAUGCAAUUGGUGGGAGAAGAUUUAGUGAGGGAACCAGUGCCGACCGUGAGAUCCAGCGGACGCUGAUGGAGCUUCUUAAUCAGUUAGAUGGAUUUGAUGAGCUUGGCAAGGUCAAGAUGAUCAUGGCAACAAACCGGCCUGAUGUUCUUGACCCUGCGCUCCUGCGCCCUGGACGUCUCGACAGAAAGAUUGAGAUUCCACUACCAAACGAGCAGUCAAGAACAGAAGUACUUAAAAUUCAUGCCGCUGGUAUCGCCAAGCAUGGAGAAAUAGAUUAUGAAGCGGUAGUGAAACUGGCUGAAGGAUUCAACGGGGCUGAUCUUCGCAAUGUCUGCACCGAAGCUGGCAUGUCUGCAAUUCGCGCAGAGCGGGACUACGUAGUCCACGAGGACUUCAUGAAGGCCGUCAGGAAGCUGAAUGACGCCAAGAAGCUGGAAUCCAGCGCCCACUACAGCGCAGACUUUGGCAAAGACUAA